UACGUAGGGGCUAGCGUUAUCCGGAAUUACUGGGCGUAAAGGGUGCGUAGGUGGUUUCUUAAGUCAGAGGCGAAAGGCUACGGCUCAACCGUAGUAAGCCUUUGAAACUGGGAAACUUGAGUGCAGGAGAGGAGAGUGGAAUUCCUAGUGUAGCGGUGAAAUGCGUAGAUAUUAGGAGGAACACCAGUUGCGAAGGCGGCUCUCUGGACUGUAACUGACACUGAGGCACGAAAGCGUUGGGAGCAAACAGGAUUAGAUACCCUGGUAGUCCCUGAG
rnacentral:rRNA from 1 species